AUUGAACGCUGGCGGCAGGCUUAACACAUGCAAGUCGAACGGUAACAUAAAGGAGCUUGCUUCUUUGAUGACGAGUGGCGGACGGGUGAGUAAUGCUUGGGAAUCUAGCUUAUGGAGGGGGAUAACUACGGGAAACUGUAGCUAAUACCGCGUAGAAUCGGGAGAUGAAAGUGUGGGACCUUCGGGCCACAUGCCAUAGGAUGAGCCCAAGUGGGAUUAGGUAGUUGGUGAGGUAAAGGCUCACCAAGCCGACGAUCUCUAGCUGGUCUGAGAGGAUGACCAGCCACACUGGGACUGAGACACGACCCAGACUCCUACGGGAGGCAGCAGUGGGGAAUAUUGCGCAAUGGGGGCAACCCUGACGCAGCCAUGCCGCGUGAAUGAAGAAGGCCUUCGGGUUGUAAAGUUCUUUCGGUAGCGAGGAAGGCAUUUAGUUUAAUAGACUAGGUGAUUGACGUUAACUACAGAAGAAGCACCGGCUAACUCCGUG
rnacentral:rRNA from 1 species